UGCGCGGUUAUCGCGUUUGCUGUGCUAGAUACGAAAUAUAUUUAUAUAUAUAUGUAUAUAAAUCCUUUAAUGAGGAUCCAUUGAAGGACAAAUCUGAUGCCAGCAGCCAUAGUAAUUUCAACUCCAACAGCAUAUAUUAAAAUUGUUGCGAUUAAAAAGCUCGUAGUUGAAUCUGUGUCGCACACCGUCGGUUCACUGUUCGCGGUGUUUAACUGGCGUAAUGUGGAAUGUAGGUGUGACGCGUCUUAUCUACUACGUACUACGACGCGUCUUACGUACUACGAUGGGCUUAGUCGACUCAACUAAUAUCCCGUCGCGAUGCUCUUUACUGAGUGUCGAGUCAGGCCGGUACAUUUACUUUGAACAAAUUAGAGUGUUUAAAGCAGGCUAUCCUCGCCUGAAUACUGCGUGGAAUAAUGGAAGGACCUCGGUUCUAUUUUGUUGGUUUUCGAAACCUCAAGAUAAUGAUUAAUAGGGAUUGAUGGGAGUAUUCGUAUUGCGACGAUAGAGGUGAAAUUCUUGGAUCGUCGCAAGACGAAUAGAAGCGAAAGCAUUUGCCAAAAAUGUUUUCAAGAAAUGUAAUCAAGAACGAAAGGUUAGAGGUUCGAAGGCAAUCAGAUACCGCCCCAGUUCUAACCAUAAACGAUGCCAGCUAGCGAUCCGCCGAAAUUCCUCCGAUGACUCAACGGGCAGCUUCUGGGAAACCAAAAUUUUUGGGUUCCAGGGGAAAUAUAGUUGCAAAGUUGAAACUUAAAGGAAUUGACGGAAGAGACACCACCAGGAGCGGAGUUAAGCCUGCGGCUUAAUUUAACUCAACACGGGAAAUCUGACCAGGCCCAGACACCGGAAGGAUUGAUAGCUUUUUCUUGAUUCGGUGGAUAGUGGUGCAUUCUUAGUUGGUGGAGUGAUUUGUCUGGUUAAUUCCGAUAACGAGAGACUCUAGCGUGCUAAAUAGGCACAUCUUAUCACGAAAGUCCCCGGCUUCGAUCGAUGGGUUUUUACUACUAACGUACAAACAAAUCUUCUUAGAGGGACAGGCGGCUUCUAGCCGCACGAGAUUGAGCAAUAACAGUCUGUGAUGCCCUUAGAUCUGUGUAGUCUGUGAUUUCUUCAGUGUAUGUUCCCUGGCCGAAAGGCCCGGGUAACCCGCUGAACCUCCUUCGUGCUACGGAUUGAAGCUUGCAAUUGUUCUCCAUGAACGAGGAAUUCUCUGUAAACGCGAGUCAUGAGCUCGCAUUGAUUACGUUCCUAACCUUUGUACAUACCGCCCGUCGCUACUACCGAUUGAAUGAUUUAGUAAAGUCUUCGAACUGAUGUGCGGCAAUGCAUCGGCAUUGCCAAUGUUGCCGGGAAGAUGACUAAACUUGAUCAUUUAGAGGAAGUAAAAGUCGUAACAAGGUUUCCGUAUGAAACCUGUGGAAGGAUCAUUA
rnacentral:ncRNA from 1 species